rnacentral:rRNA from 1 species
GUCUGANCUGCCCGGUGAUUAAAUUAUUUAUUUAACGCCCGCAGUACUUUGACUGUGCNAANGUAGCGUAAUUAUUUGCCUUAUAAUUGGAGGCUUGUAUGAAUGGUUUGACGAGAAUAUAUCUGUCUUANUUUGAUUUUUUANAAUUUAACUUUUAAGUGAAGAGGCUUUUAUUUUAUUGAUAGACUANAAUACCCUGNCGAGCUUUA